rnacentral:rRNA from 1 species
CAUAUUGGAUUGUGGUCAGCAGCCGCGGCGGUAAUACAGAGGCGGCAAGCGUUGUUCGGAAUUAUUGGGCGUAAAGAGCUCGUAGGCGGCCUUGCAAGUCAGUUGUGAAAGCCUUCCGCUCAACGGAAGAACGGCAUCUGAUACUACAAGGCUAGAGUACGGGAGGGGAGAGUGGAACUUCUGGUGGAGCGGUGAAAUGCGUAGAUAUCAGAAGGAACGCCGGCGGCGAAAGCGACUCUCUGGACCGAAACUGACGCUGAGGAGCGAAAGCUAGGGGAGCAAACGGGAUUAGAUACCCCGGUAGUCCUAGCCGUAAACGAUGGGCACUAAGUAGAGGGGUUUUGAUUAUCUCUCUGCCGGAGCUAACGCAUUAAGUGCCCCGCCUGGGGAGUACGGCCGCAAGGCUAAAACUCAAAAGAAUUGACGGGGGCUCGCACAAGCGGUGGAGCAUGUGGCUUAAUUCGAUGCAACGCGAAGAACCUUACCGGGGCUUGACAUGGUAGAAGUAGGAACCUGAAAAGGGGACGAUCGGUUCAGUCCGAAGCUAUCACAGGUGUUGCAUGGCUGUCGUCAGCUCGUGUCGUGAGACGUUGGGUUAAGUCCCCUAACGAGCGAAACCCUUGUCUUUAGUUGCCAUCAGGUUGUGCUGGGCACUCUAGAGAGACUGCCGUCGUCAAGACGGAGGAAGGUGGGGAUGACGUCAAGUCAUCAUGGCCCUUAUGCCCCGGGCUGCACACGUGCUACAAUGGUCGGUACAAAGGGAUGCUAAGUCGUAAGAUGGAGCGAAACCUAUAAAGCCGAUCCCAGUUCAGAUUGGAGGCUGAAACUCGCCUCCAUGAAGUAGGAAUCGCUAGUAAUCGCGGAUCAGCCUCGCCGCGGUGAAUAUGUUCCCGAGCCUUGUACACACCGCCCGUCA